UGGGGAAUAUUGCACAAUGGGGAACCCGUAGCAUGCAGCGACGCCGCGUGAAGGAUGAAGUAUUUCGGUAUGUAAACUUCUAUCAGCAGGGAAGAAAAUGACGGUACCUGACUAAGAAGCCCCGGCUAACUACGUGCCAGCAGCCGCGGUAAUACGUAGGGGCAAGCGGUUAUCCGGAUUUACUGGGUGUAAAGGGAGCGUAGACGGCAUGGCAAGUCUGAAGUGAAAGCCCGGGGCUCAACCCGGACUGCUUUGGAAACUGUCAGGCUAGAGUGCUGGAGAGGUAAGUGGAAUUCCUAGUGUAGCGGUGAAAUGCGUAGAUAUUAGGAGGAACACCAGUGGCGAAGGCGGCUUACUGGACAGUGACUGACGUUGAGGCUCGAAAGCGUGGGGAGCAAACAGGAUUAGAUACCC
rnacentral:rRNA from 1 species